AUACUUACUGGCAGGGGAGAUACAUGAUCAAGGAAGGUGGUUCACCCAGGGCGAGGCUAAACCAUUGCAACUCCGGUUAUGCGACCUGCGAAUUCCCAAAUGUGGGAAUCUCGACUGCAUAAUUUGUGGUAGUGGGGGACUGCGUUCGGCUCUCCCCGA